AGAGUUUGAUCAUGGCUCAGAUUGAACGCUGGCGGCAGGCCUAACACAUGCAAGUCGAACGGUAACAGGAAGAAGCUUGCUUCUUUGCUGACGAGUGGCGGACGGGUGAGUAAUGUCUGGGAAACUGCCUGAUGGAGGGGGAUAACUACUGGAAACGGUAGCUAAUACCGCAUAACGUCGCAAGACCAAAGAGGGGGACCUUCGGGCCUCUUGCCAUCGGAUGUGCCCAGAUGGGAUUAGCUAGUAGGUGGGGUAACGGCUCACCUAGGCGACGAUCCCUAGCUGGUCUGAGAGGAUGACCAGCCACACUGGAACUGAGACACGGUCCAGACUCCUACGGGAGGCAGCAGUGGGGAAUAUUGCACAAUGGGCGCAAGCCUGAUGCAGCCAUGCCGCGUGUAUGAAGAAGGCCUUCGGGUUGUAAAGUACUUUCAGCGGGGAGGAAGGGAGUAAAGUUAAUACCUUUGCUCAUUGACGUUACCCGCAGAAGAAGCACCGGCUAACUCCGUGCCAGCAGCCGCGGCAAUACGGAGGGUGCAAGCGUUAAUCGGAAUUACUGGGCGUAAAGCGCACGCAGGCGGUUUGUUAAGUCAGAUGUGAAAUCCCCGGGCUCAACCUGGGAACUGCAUCUGAUACUGGCAAGCUUGAGUCUCGUAGAGGGGGGUAGAAUUCCAGGUGUAGCGGUGAAAUGCGUAGAGAUCUGGAGGAAUACCGGUGGCGAAGGCGGCCCCCUGGACGAAGACUGACGCUCAGGUGCGAAAGCGUGGGGAGCAAACAGGAUUAGAUACCCUGGUAGUCCACGCCGUAAACGAUGUCGACUUGGAGGUUGUGCCCUUGAGGCGUGGCUUCCGGAGCUAACGCGUUAAGUCGACCGCCUGGGGAGUACGGCCGCAAGGUUAAAACUCAAAUGAAUUGACGGGGGCCCGCACAAGCGGUGGAGCAUGUGGUUUAAUUCGAUGCAACGCGAAGAACCUUACCUGGUCUUGACAUCCACGGAAGUUUUCAGUGAUGAGAAUGUGCCUUCGGGAACCGUGAGACAGGUGCUGCAUGGCUGUCGUCAGCUCGUGUUGUGAAAUGUUGGGUUAAGUCCCGCAACGAGCGCAACCCUUAUCCUUUGUUGCCAGCGGUCCGGCCGGGAACUCAAAGGAGACUGCCAGUGAUAAACUGGAGGAAGGUGGGGAUGACGUCAAGUCAUCAUGGCCCUUACGACCAGGGCUACACACGUGCUACAAUGGCGCAUACAAAGGGAAGCGACCUCGCGAGAGCAAGCGGACCUCAUAAAGUGCGUCGUAGUCCGGAUUGGAGUCUGCAACUCGACUCCAUGAAGUCGGAAUCGCUAGUAAUCGUGGAUCAGAAUGCCACGGUGAAUACGUUCCCGGGCCUUGUACACACCGCCCGUCACACCAUGGGAGUGGGUUGCAAAAGAAGUAGGUAGCUUAACCUUCGGGAGGGCGCUUACCACUUUGUGAUUCAUGACUGGGGUGAAGUCGGAACAAGGUAACCGUAGGGGAACCUGCGGUUG
rnacentral:rRNA from 1 species